GGGGAUAUAGCUCAGUUGGUAGAGUGCUUGCCUUAUAAGCACAAGGCCCUGGGUUCAAUCCCCAGUUUUUUUCCCU